UCAGGCCUAACACAUGCAAGUCGAGCGGGGUUUUCGGACCUAGCGGCGGACGGGUGAGUAAUGCGUAGGAAGCUACCCGAUAGAGGGGGAUACCAGUUGGAAACGACUGUUAAUACCGCAUAAUGUCUACGGACCAAAGUGUGGGACCUUCGGGCCACAUGCUAUCGGAUGCGCCUACGUGGGAUUAGCUAGUUGGUGAGGUAAUGGCUCACCAAGGCGACGAUCUCUAGCUGGUUUGAGAGGAUGAUCAGCCACACUGGAACUGAGACACGGUCCAGACUCCUACGGGAGGCAGCAGUGGGGAAUAUUGGACAAUGGGCGCAAGCCUGAUCCAAACAGUGCCGCGUGUGUGAAGAAGGCCUUCGGG
rnacentral:rRNA from 1 species